rnacentral:rRNA from 1 species
UACGUAGGGUGCGAGCGUUAAUCGGAAUUACUGGGCGUAAAGCGUGCGCAGGCUGUUCUGUAAGUCAGAUGUGAAAUCCCCGAGCUCAACUUGGGAACUGCGUUUGAAACUACAGGACUAGAAUAUGUCAGAGGGGGGUAGAAUUCCACGUGUAGCAGUGAAAUGCGUAGAGAUGUGGAGGAAUACCGAUGGCGAAGGCAGCCCCCUGGGAUAACACUGACGCUCAUGCACGAAAGCGUGGGGAGCAAACAGG